UACGAAGGGGGCUAGCGUUGCUCGGAAUUACUGGGCGUAAAGCGCACGUAGGCGGAUUGUUAAGUCGGGGGUGAAAUCCUGGAGCUCAACUCCAGAACUGCCUUUGAUACUGAAGAUCUUGAGUUCGGGAGAGGUGAGUGGAACUGCGAGUGUAGAGGCGAAAUUCGUAGAUAUUCGCAAGAACACCAGUGGCGAAGGCGGCUCACUGGCCCGAUACUGACGCUGAGGCACGAAAGCGUGGGGAGCAAACAGG
rnacentral:rRNA from 1 species